rnacentral:rRNA from 1 species
CACACCCGUUCCCAUCCCGAACACGGAAGUUAAGCUCUUCAGCGCCGAUGGUAGUGAGAGGAUUCCUCUUGCGAGAGCAGGACGUUGCCAGAC